GACGAACGCUGGCGGCGUGCCUAAUACAUGCAAGUCGAACGCACUGACGGAGAACUUGUUCUCUUGACGUGAGUGGCGCACGGGUGAGUAACACGUGGGAAACCUACCCUUCAGCGGGGGAUAACCAUCGGAAACGAUGACUAAUACCGCAUAGACGACAGAACCGCCUGGUUCAAUCGGGAAAGACGGCUUCGGCUGUCACUGAAGGAUGGUCCCGCGCUGCAUUAGCUAGUGGUAGUAACGCUUACAAGCGAUGAUGCAUAGCCGACCUGAGAGGGUGAUCGGCCACAUUGGGACUGAGACACGGCCCAAAUCCUACGGGAGGCAGCAGUAGGGAAUCUCCGAAUGGACGCAAGUCUGACGGAGC
rnacentral:rRNA from 1 species